rnacentral:rRNA from 1 species
AUUGUACGCUGGCGGCAUGCCUUACACAUGCAAGUCGAACGCGAAAGGGGGGCAACCCCCGAGUAGAGUGGCGGACGGGUGAGUAAUACAUCGGAACGUACCCAGUAGUGGGGGACAACCUCGAGAAAUCGAGGCUAAUACCGCAUACGACCUACGGGUGAAAGCGGGGGACCGCAAGGCCUCGCGCUAUUGGAGCGGCCGAUGUCCGAUUAGCUAGUUGGUAGGGUAAAAGCCUACCAAGGCGACGAUCGGUAGCUGGUCUGAGAGGACGACCAGCCACACUGGGACUGAGACACGGCCCAGACUCCUACGGGAGGCAGCAGUGGGGAAUUUUGGACAAUGGGUGCAACCCUGAUCCAGCCAUGCCGCGUGCGGGAAGAAGGCCUUCGGGUUGUAAACCGCUUUCGGCCGGAACGAAAUCGCCGGGGAGAACAUCCCCGGUGGAUGACGGUACCGGAAGAAGAAGCACCGGCUAACUACGUGCCAGCAGCCGCCGUAAAAC